CAAGCGCCCGCUGGCCAACCUUCAGUCAGUUAGCCGGGAAGUGUUUAAGUCGUUAGACGCGAAGUCAGAGCCUUUGUAAAAGACAAGGAAAUUUCUAAAAAAAAUCUUUUGUGAUUCGUUCCUCUCUUUUUUAGCCCCUGUGUAAAAUUCGUUUUUGAAAUACGGUUAACUGCUAUUCGAUUUGUCAAGAAAGGGGUAAGAGAGAUUUUUCAGCGAGUCAUUUAUUGGGCAAUAUUGCGCAAUUAGAACCAAACUUGUUUUCGAAGAACAGUUUUGUUUCGAAGGAAGAAGACAACGAGAGAAGAAAGUUCUUUCUCGUUUGUGUGUCGUCGGUAAGAGAAAACGUUGCCUUUCUCUCCUCCCAAGCACAUCAACUCCAUCUACUAUUCAAUACCCGUCGUAUAUAUCGCGUAGUGGAAAAACCCAAGCAGGUCGCCGUUGCGUCCCCGCCGCCAUCUUGCUCCUUUGUUUGGUGGCGUCAAGCCUGUAUAUUUACGGCCACUUGUGUGUAUUGCGCGUUAUCAUCCAUAUUCGCCUUUUUCGUUGUGUUUUGUGAUCUCAUCAACAGUUGAGGUCGAUUCGGAACCAAGAGAAGAAAAAUACUUGUUUGCUGUUUGCUGAAUAAUAUCAAGAUAGAAGUGAUGAGAAUCAUGGUUACUGCCAAGAGUAGCCUUAACAACGGUGGAGUUAGACGGGGCCGUGCCUGCUCGACGUCCACGGGCAAUCCCAUAGAGGACAUGGCCAUUUCAAGCCAGUCCUCUGCGGCUGUGACCCCUAACAGGGCAAGCAGGACACCUACUGCUCAGCCGAUUGCCAUUCCUGAAUCUGGUGCAAGAAGACGCUAUGGUUCACCAAGAAGCGUCCAAUCUGGUAGCCCUCGCUCACACUCAUACACCUCUUCCAAAUCAAGUCCCAACCGAGCAUCACCAUCAACCAAUGGGCUAUUCUAUGCGGGUGCAAAAUUCAGUGAGGCUCCAGCGGCGGCCAGUCUUCCUAAACCUCCACCUCACUGGACCACCUCAAAUGCUACAUACCACAAAGAACAGUUCCAAGAAAUAUCCAAUCAAUUGAAGAUGCUCCUCAACAUCAAGGCCUAAGAA